UGAUUGCCAUUGAAGUUCAAAUAUGUCAAGCCGCUACCUACUGAAAAUAUUUCAGGAAUGGUUCCAUGUAAAUUGUUCAUGCCCAAAUGCAAUACUGAAAGUGUGCUGCUGAAAUUUCUCGAACAUUGUGGGAUGGGGCCAUUCAAACUAUUAUUUGACAAGUCGAGAACUUGGAGAGAGUUUAGCUUAAAAAUUGAACAUGGAAUUGGGCCAUUCAACUUGUUAUUUCUCAAAUCAAUCUGCACAAAUGAACCGUCAUGGAAUGGACCUAAAUGACCGGUAAGCUGGUUAUUCUUGAGGAUUAAAGUGAUCAACUGAGGUAGAGUAAACAGAGAAGGUGGUAUUGUUGCAUUUAAUAAGUUAUUGGAUAAAUCGAGAUCGAAAAGACUUGAAAGCCUGCCUACUUGGAAAGGGAUGGGCCCUGUAAAUUGAUUAUUUGAUAAAUAUAAAAAAUGAAGCUGUGAGAAGUUCACAAAAUAAUCAGGAAUUUGACCACUGAACUUGUUGUUUUGGAAGCAUAAAAAGUGAAGUUGUUUGAGGUUUUCAAACGAUGAGGGAAUCUGACCAUUGAAAUUGUUAUAGGAAAGGUCAAGUGAAACGAGUUGCUCAAGAUUUCCAAGUGAAAAUGGAAUUUGACCAUUGAAAUUGUUAUGGGAAAGGUCAAGUGAAAAGAGUUGCUUCAGGUUCCCCAGUGACGAUGGAAUUUGACCAUUAAAAUUAUUAUGGGAAAGGUCUAGCUCAGUGAGUUGAGUCAGGUUACCUAACAAUUCCAAAUUUGAAACUCUAUAGUUGCAAGAACUGAGACCCAAACUUUUCAAUGACUUUAAAUUACUGAUAAAAUCAUGGUUUAAAUAUAUUGGAAUUUUUGUCUUGGAAAGAUACAAGGAGUGGAGGGAGUUAUUCCAAUUAUGCCGAGGUAAGGAACCAGUGAGAUCAUCAUUGCCCGCUAAAUUCAGGGAUUGGAGGUUUGGUAGUUGAAAUAUGUUGUUUGGAAGUUUCCCUUUCAAUCCACAAAACGAGAGAAGGAGGUUUGAUAAAGAAGAAGAGAUAUUCAUUAAGGAACUAGGUUGGACAAAAGACAUGUUUCCAUAACUCAAGUCUACUUCUCUUAGCUUGGAUAGAUUUUGAACAAGCUUAUCAAAAGUCAUUGCAUCUAGUAUCAGACUAUUGUUCCCAAAAAGAUCAAGCAGAGCCAAUUCAGAUAGAUGACUGAUAUCUGGAAAUUUCCCUUGCAAGAAGCAUGUUCUAAGCUCGAGAGAUGUCAAAGAAGAAGAC
rnacentral:misc_RNA from 1 species